UGUUGGUUGCAAUUGGUAUUCUGAGAGAGCUAGCUGCAAGGCACAGAUUUAUUUGCUGGAAUGGCCACUAAAGAGCAGAACCAAGAGCUCACAAUUGACGAUCUGAAGACAGAAAUGAAACUGACUGAUGAGCAGCUCAAUACAGCAAUACAAGAACCAGAUCUACCCGAGUUAGCAGCAUGUUUCGAUAACACUGAUGAUUAUCUUGAAAAGCUGGAGCUGUCAAUGGAGCUGCCCUCUAUCAACUUCUGAAUACAAACAAUUCCCUUGAAUGUCUUAAUUUGUCUGGUAACACAUUGACUAACUGUCGUCACAUUGCUGCUGGACUUGCAGCCAAUAAGACUCUGAGAAGAUUGGACUUGUAAACUGACUGAUCAGAGUAUCGAGGAGCUAUCAACUGGACUGAUCAACAAGAUUGAAACACUGCACAUUUAUGAUGGAACAGAAGAUGGAAUGAAGACGCUUGCCAGACAUCUAACUGACACUAUUGGUGAUACCCGACCACCUAAUUAAUACUCUGUAUCGAGACAGCAUUCAGGGACGCUAACAAAGAGAGGAAGAGAAAUGGACUGCCUGAGAUUUAAUGUGGUUGCAUUCUUACCAUGAUUUUAAUUACUUUUGACAAUGGAUUUUAUUUUCUGCCAUAAUUAUAU